GAAGAAACACAGUCAGAAUGAGUUUUCUAUCCAACAUGAGUCCUAACUGCUGUUAGACAUGAUGCAGAGUCCUCAGGUUUGUCAGAGAGACAGAGA